UGAACGCUAGCUACAGGCUUAACACAUGCAAGUCGAGGGGCAGCAUGGUCUUAGCUUGCUAAGGCCGAUGGCGACCGGCGCACGGGUGAGUAACACGUAUCCAACCUGCCGUCUACUCUUGGACAGCCUUCUGAAAGGAAGAUUAAUACAAGAUGGCAUCAUGAGUCCGCAUGUUCACAUGAUUAAAGGUAUUCCGGUAGACGAUGGGGAUGCGUUCCAUUAGAUAGUAGGCGGGGUAACGGCCCACCUAGUCUUCGAUGGAUAGGGGUUCUGAGAGGAAGGUCCCCCACAUUGGAACUGAGACACGGUCCAAACUCCUACGGGAGGCAGCAGUGAGGAAUAUUGGUCAAUGGGCGAGAGCCUGAACCAGCCAAGUAGCGUGAAGGAUGACUGCCCUAUGGGUUGUAAACUUCUUUUAUACGGGAAUAAAGUCGGGUAUGGAUACCCGUUUGCAUGUACUUUAUGAAUAAGGAUCGGCUAACUCCGUG
rnacentral:rRNA from 1 species